AGAGGCGCUUCCGGGCCGGGCUCCGUUGCCAUGGUGGCCGAGGGGGCAGGCUUGAGGCCUAGCUGGAGAACCCUUGCAAGGCACGAAGGUGGGUUUUCUUCGCCUGCCCGUGGAGGGUCUCCGGCCAAGAAGAGGGAAAAACCGAGGAGAAGAUGCAGAGCUGGUGACUUAAACUGAAUGGUAGAGUCUUAAUUCUAAUUUUCGACCCUGAAAUCCUCACCGGAGUCGUUUACUGAUUUGGGGUAGCUCGUACAUUUUAUUGCAGUCAAUUAUACAGACCGAUAUCAUUGUCCAGCAAGAUGACCCAGGCUGAAAUCAAGCUUUGUUCUCUUCUGCUCUGUGAACAUUUUGGCGAAAUUGUGGAAAAGGUUGGAAUGCAGCUCAUCCGCAUGGGUGGGCAGACGUUAUGGAUGAUUUCCCAAAACACAAGCAUGUCGCUUGACCAGGUCCGGAAAGCUCUCUGUGUCCUCAUCCAACACAACUUGGUGACCUUCCAGCAGCAGAAGCGAGGCCUGGUGGAGUAUGAAGCCCAGUGCAGCCGAAUGCUGCGAAUCCUCCGCUAUCCCCGGUACAUCUAUACAGCCAAAACUCUCUAUAGCGACACGGGGGAACUGAUUGUGGAAGAGCUGCUACUCAAUGGUAAAAUGACCAUGAGUGCUGUGGUGAAGAAGGUGGCGGACCGACUGACCGAGACAAUGGAAGAUGGUAAGACAAUGGAUUACAGCGAAGUCUCCGCCACCUUUACCUGCCUGGCAGAUACACAUUUUGUUCAGAGAUGCCCUUCGCCGUCCGAAAGUUCGGAGUCUGCCGAAACACAGCCUCCUCCCACUCCUACAUUGGCCUUUAAUGAGAAGGAUAUGUACGCUGUGCCAAAGCUGAACCUCACAGGAAGGGGAAAGCGGAAGCAUUCCGACAACGCCAAGGAGGACGGUGACAGAGGAGGAAAGCGAUCAAGACAAGACCCAGAGAGCGAAGAGCCUCUUGCAGACAGUGGCAUCUACUGGCAAGUCAAUAUAGACCGUUUCCACCAGCACUUCCGGGAUCAAGCAAUUGUCAGUGCAGUGGCCAACAGGAUGGACCAGACCAGUAGCGAAAUUGUGCGGACCAUGUUGCGAAUGAGUGAAGUCACAACCUCUUCUAACGCUCCCUACACUCAGCCGCUCUCUUCCAAUGAGAUAUUCCGGUUACUUCCGGCCGGUUACAACAUAUCCAAGCAGAUUCUUGAUCAGUACCUAACUUUACUAGCAGAUGACCCGCUUGAGUUUGUUGGGAAAUCGGGGGAGAGCGGUGGAGGGAUGUACGUGAUCAGUAUCCUUCGGGGGCCUUCCGCUGUCACGAGAGCCGGAAUCAGAAGAAAGCCAUAUCUUCACAAGGGCCUGGCCUCUCUCGCCACCGCAACGCUGGAAUCCAUUGUGCAGGAAAGAUUCGGGUCCCGCUGUGCCCGCAUUUUCCGCCUUCUAUUAAGAAAGAGGCACCUGGAACAGAAGCAGAUCGAGGACUUUGCCAUGAUCCCGGGCAAGGAAGCCAAAGAAAUGAUGUACAAAAUGUUGUCGGCCAAUAUCGUCGCUCUGCAGGAAAUCCCCAAAACUCCAGAUCACGCACCUUCCCGGACAUUCUACUUGUACACCGUCAAUACGCUCGCGUCUGCCCGGAUGCUGCUCCAGCGCUGUUACAAGUGUGUGGCCAACCUGAUAGAACGGCGACUUCACGAGACCAAGGAGAACCGGUCCCCUGCCUUUGGCCUCGCAGUCUCUGUGACUCAGGUGAAGCCACAAGACCGACCGUCUGACCAUCUGCCUUUCCUGGCAGGCGUCUGCUGGAGAAGAGCCAGCGGGUGGAGGCCAUCCUUGCCUCGGUCCAAGCCACAGGGGCUGAGGAGGCACAGCUGCAGGAGAUUGAGGAAAUGAUCACGGCACCCGAACGACAGCAGCUGGAGACUCUCAAGCACAAUGUCAACAAGAUCGAUGCCAGUGAAAAUCAAGUGGAUGAAACCAUCUUUAUUUUGGAAUCAUACAUCAACAGCACCAUCAGACACUGACCCGUCAGCUGGAGCUUGAAAAAAUCCUGUCUUGGUCUUCUAGUUUUUAAAGUCUGAUUUGUUUUGUUUUCAUAUAA